AGGCCCCAGCAGCAGUUAUCUGGUGUGGAUCGGUACAAAAAUGGAGGGAGCUGCUUCUGAAAUGACCUCCCCUGUGGAGUUUAAAACAAGGGGAAUUGUACGUGUCCUUUUGGAGAGAGCAAGCUCACGUGAACCCAGCUGUGUUACCAUGAAGAGCAACAAGUCAAUGAUGGAACCAGUCACCCUCAGUGAGGGACCUUCUCCAUCAGCUCAUUGACCGUCCUGUUUGAAGAUACUCGAAUAAGACAGGAACACUGUCAGGGUCGUGUUGUGAAGAACAUUGUGAUUUAUGGUAAAACGACUGUUACAGCCACUAGCAUGCAUGUCUCUUUGGGUCUAUAGUCAGGCCAUAAUAUAA